ACCACAGCUGCAAGGCUGCGCUGAACACGCAGAAGUCAGCCGAAGCCAUAGUACCUUGGGGAAACUCAAGGGAAGGGC
rnacentral:ncRNA from 1 species